rnacentral:rRNA from 1 species
AUUGAACGCUGGCGGCAGGCCUAACACAUGUAAGUCGAGCGAGCGGCGAACGGGUGAGUAACAUAUCGGUACGUACCGUGUAAUGGGGGAUAACUAAUCGAAAGAUUAGCUAAUACCCCAUAUUCUUCGAGCGGCCGAUAUCUGAUGAGCUGGUUGGUGGGGUAAAGGCCUACCAAGGCGACAAUCAGUAGCGGGUCUGAGAGGAUGAUCCGCCACACUGGGACGGAGACACGGCCCAGACUCCUACGGAAGGCAGCAGAGGGGAAUGUUGGACAAUGGGGGCAAGCCUGAUCCAGCCAUGCCGCGUGUCGGAAGAAGGCCGUCGGGUUGUAAAGGACUUUUGUCAGGGAAGCGGUACCUGAAGAAUAAGAACCGGCUAACUACGUGCCAGCCGCCGCGGUAAUAC